rnacentral:rRNA from 1 species
UACGAAGGGUGCAAGCGUUACUCGGAAUCACUGGGCGUAAAGCGUGCGUAGGCGGUUUCUUAAGUCUGUCGUGAAAGCCCUGGGCUCAACCUGGGAACGGCGAUGGAUACUGGGAAGCUAGAAUGUGAGAGAGGAUGGUGGAAUUCCCGGUGUAGCGGUGAAAUGCGUAGAUAUCGGAAGGAACAUCAGUGGCGAAAGCGACUUCCUGGACCAAUACUGACGCUCAUGUGCGAAAGCGUGGGGAGCAAACAGG